GAAUAAACUUUUCCCAAGGUUUCUUUCUCAGCACAAAGGAAAAUCUCAAUGAUUUGACUUGUUCUGGUUUUGAAUUCAGACUGCAAGAAUCUCCAACCAAAUUCGGAGAUCAGUCUCUCCAGUACCCAGUCAUCUGUCCAUGAAGAGUGACUUCUCUAUGGAUCGUCGUAUACAUUUUAGUGAUGGUUCAGGGACCUUUGACCCCAGGAUCCAUUUUGAGACGACAGAGCAGAAAACACUGUCUGGAGAGAAGUACAAAAUAAAUGUGGAACAUGGUGGAGAGAACACAAUGAAACCUGGACU